CCUACGGGGGGCAGCAGUGGGGAAUAUUGCUCAAUGGGCGGAAGCCUGACGCAGCGACGCCGCGUGAGGGAUGAAGGUCUUCGGAUCGUAAACCUCUGUCAGCAGGGAAGAACGGUCACUGUGCUAAUCAGCAGUGAAUUGACGGUACCUGCAAAGGAAGCACCGGCUAACUCCGUGCCAGCAGCUGCGGUAAUACGGAGGGUGCGAGCGUUAAUCGGAAUUACUGGGCGUAAAGCGCUUGUAGGCGGUAUGUCAAGUCAAGGGUGAAAUCCCCGCGCUCAACGUGGGAACUGCCUUUGAAACUGGCAGACUGGAGUGUGUGAGAGGAAAGUGGAAUUCCAGGUGUAGGAGUGAAAUGCGUAGAUAUCUGGAGGAACAGCAGUGGCGAAGGCGACUAUCUGGCACAUAACUGACGCUGAGGAGCGAAAGCGUGGGUAGCAAACAGGAUUAGAUACCCCUGUAGUC
rnacentral:rRNA from 1 species